UUAAGCGACUAAGCGUACACGGUGGAUGCCCUGGCAGUCAGAGGCGAUGAAGGACGUGCUAAUCUGCGAAAAGCGUCGGUAAGGUGAUAUGAACCGUUACAGCCGGCGAUGUCCGAAUGGGGAAACCCAGUGCAAUUCGUUGCACUAUCGUUAACUGAAUACAUAGGUUAACGAGGCGAACCGGGGGAACUGAAACAUCUAAGUACCCCGAGGAAAAGAAAUCAACCGAGAUUCCCCCAGUAGCGGCGAGCGAACGGGGAGCAGCCCAGAGUCUGAAUCAGCUUGUGUGUUAGUGGAACGGUCUGGAAAGUCCGACGGUACAGGGUGAUAGUCCCGUACACCAAAAUGCACAGGUUGUGAACUCGAAGAGUAGGGCGGGACACGUGGUAUCCUGUCUGAAUAUGGGGGGACCAUCCUCCAAGGCUAAAUACUCCUGACUGACCGAUAGUGAACCAGUACCGUGAGGGAAAGGCGAAAAGAACCCCGGCGAGGGGAGUGAAAAAGAACCUGAAACCGUGUACGUACAAGCAGUGGGAGCACCUUCGGGUGUGACUGCGUACCUUUUGUAUAAUGGGUCAGCGACUUAUAUUCUGUAGCAAGGUUAACCGUAUAGGGGAGCCGCAGGGAAACCGAGUCUUAACUGGGCGUUAAGUUGCAGGGUAUAGACCCGAAACCCGGUGAUCUAGCCAUGGGCAGGUUGAAGGUUGGGUAACACUAACUGGAGGACCGAACCGACUAAUGUUGAAAAAUUAGCGGAUGACUUGUGGCUGGGGGUGAAAGGCCAAUCAAACCGGGAGAUAGCUGGUUCUCCCCGAAAGCUAUUUAGGUAGCGCCUCGUGAACUCAUCUUCGGGGGUAGAGCACUGUUUCGGCUAGGGGGUCAUCCCGACUUACCAACCCGAUGCAAACUACGAAUACCGAAGAAUGUUAUCACGGGAGACACACGGCGGGUGCUAACGUCCGUCGUGAAGAGGGAAACAACCCAGACCGCCAGCUAAGGUCCCAAAGUCAUGGUUAAGUGGGAAACGAUGUGGGAAGGCACAGACAGCCAGGAUGUUGGCUUAGAAGCAGCCAUCAUUUAAAGAAAGCGUAAUAGCUCACUGGUCGAGUCGGCCUGCGCGGAAGAUGUAACGGGGCUAAACCAUGCACCGAAGCUGCGGCAGCGACACUAUGUGUUGUUGGGUAGGGGAGCGUUCUGUAAGCCUGCGAAGGUGUGCUGUGAGGCAUGCUGGAGGUAUCAGAAGUGCGAAUGCUGACAUAAGUAACGAUAAAGCGGGUGAAAAGCCCGCUCGCCGGAAGACCAAGGGUUCCUGUCCAACGUUAAUCGGGGCAGGGUGAGUCGACCCCUAAGGCGAGGCCGAAAGGCGUAGUCGAUGGGAAACAGGUUAAUAUUCCUGUACUUGGUGUUACUGCGAAGGGGGGACGGAGAAGGCUAUGUUAGCCGGGCGACGGUUGUCCCGGUUUAAGCAUGUAGGCUGGUUGUCCAGGCAAAUCCGGAUAAUCAAGGCUGAGGUGUGAUGACGAGGCACUACGGUGCUGAAGUAACAAAUGCCCUGCUUCCAGGAAAAGCCUCUAAGCAUCAGGUAACAUUAAAUCGUACCCCAAACCGACACAGGUGGUCAGGUAGAGAAUACCAAGGCGCUUGAGAGAACUCGGGUGAAGGAACUAGGCAAAAUGGUGCCGUAACUUCGGGAGAAGGCACGCUGGUGUGUAGGUGAAGUCCCUGCGGAUGGAGCUGAGACCAGUCGAAGAUACCAGCUGGCUGCAACUGUUUAUUAAAAACACAGCACUGUGCAAACACGAAAGUGGACGUAUACGGUGUGACGCCUGCCCGGUGCCGGAAGGUUAAUUGAUGGGGUUAUCCGUAAGGAGAAGCUCUUGAUCGAAGCCCCGGUAAACGGCGGCCGUAACUAUAACGGUCCUAAGGUAGCGAAAUUCCUUGUCGGGUAAGUUCCGACCUGCACGAAUGGCGUAAUGAUGGCCAGGCUGUCUCCACCCGAGACUCAGUGAAAUUGAACUCGCUGUGAAGAUGCAGUGUACCCGCGGCAAGACGGAAAGACCCCGUGAACCUUUACUAUAGCUUGACACUGAACAUUGAGCCUUGAUGUGUAGGAUAGGUGGGAGGCUUUGAAGCGUGGACGCCAGUCUGCGUGGAGCCAACCUUGAAAUACCACCCUUUAAUGUUUGAUGUUCUAACGUUGGCCCCUGACCGGGGUUGCGGACAGUGUCUGGUGGGUAGUUUGACUGGGGCGGUCUCCUCCCAAAGCGUAACGGAGGAGCACGAAGGUUAGCUAAUCCUGGUCGGACAUCAGGAGGUUAGUGCAAUGGCAUAAGCUAGCUUGACUGCGAGCGUGACGGCGCGAGCAGGUGCGAAAGCAGGUCAUAGUGAUCCGGUGGUUCUGAAUGGAAGGGCCAUCGCUCAACGGAUAAAAGGUACUCCGGGGAUAACAGGCUGAUACCGCCCAAGAGUUCAUAUCGACGGCGGUGUUUGGCACCUCGAUGUCGGCUCAUCACAUCCUGGGGCUGAAGUAGGUCCCAAGGGUAUGGCUGUUCGCCAUUUAAAGUGGUACGCGAGCUGGGUUUAGAACGUCGUGAGACAGUUCGGUCCCUAUCUGCCGUGGGCGCUGGAGAAUUGAGGGGGGCUGCUCCUAGUACGAGAGGACCGGAGUGGACGCAUCACUGGUGUUCGGGUUGUCAUGCCAAUGGCACUGCCCGGUAGCUAAAUGCGGAAGAGAUAAGUGCUGAAAGCAUCUAAGCACGAAACUUGCCCCGAGAUGAGUUCUCCCUGAGACUUUAAGUCUCCUGAAGGAACGUUAAAGACGAUGACGUUGAUAGGCCGGGUGUGUAAGCGCAGCGAUGCGUUGAGCUAACCGGUACUAAUGAACCGUGAGGCUUAACCUU
rnacentral:rRNA from 1 species